rnacentral:rRNA from 1 species
UACGGAGGGUGCGAGCGUUGCUCGGAAUCACUGGGCGUAAAGCGUACGCAGGCGGUUCUGGAAGGCGGGUGUGAAAGCCCGGGGCUCAACCCCGGAAUUGCGCCCGAGACUGCAGGACUUGAAUGCGGGAGAGGAAAGCGGAAUUCCUGGUGUAGAGGUGAAAUUCGUAGAUAUCAGGAGGAACACCUGUGGCGAAAGCGGCUUUCUGGCCCGACAUUGACGCUCAUGUACGAAAGCGUGGGGAGCAAACAGG